CAAACUUUCAGAAGGAAUGACAGAGACAAAAAUCACUUCAACAACAUCCAGCUCAUUGACGACAACGCGUAAUUAAAUUAAAGUGAUAAUUCCACUUACAGUAGCAGGAGUGCUCCCUCUUAACUCACCUUGAAGAGGUAAAGCCCCAUCCCAGCAAAGCCACACUCAAGCAGACACUGAUCAGUAUAGAGGCUGGGCACCUGCUCUUAGCUGAAAUCAAGGACUAACCUGUGCAUGUGGAUCAAGUUGUAUUGCCUGGCCAGCUGAAGAGAAGAGGACUGAU
rnacentral:lncRNA from 1 species